rnacentral:rRNA from 1 species
CUUGACUGUAAAUCACGCUGAGAGCACCGGUUUUCAUCUGAUCACCGAAGUUAAGCAACAUGGAGCCUAGUGAGUACUUAGAUGGGUAACUGCUUGGGAAACCUAGGUGCUGUAAGCA